rnacentral:miRNA from 1 species
AGCUUUGCAGGGUGGGCAGUCAGC